AGAAAGAAAAAAGAAAGCCCUAAUUAGCGCCGACUCUCUCCCUCUCGCUCUCGCUCUCUUUACCUCUCACUAUCUCUCUCCCUCUCCCUCUCCAUCUCCAUCUCCGCCGUCUCGUCUCUCCCUCUCCCAUCCUUGAUCUCUCUCCCCCAUACUCUCUUGAUCUCUCUCCCUUCCUCUCCCUCCCCCUCUCGAUCUCCCUCUCCUCCCUCAUUUUCUUCGACGUGCUGUUCCUUCUUCGAUCUCUCUCCAACAAUCGAAGAAAAUAGAAGAAAGAAAGGAAAAUCAAAGCACAGGACAUGUAUUGGGCAGAUCCAGGAAUGUGGUGUUUUGGUAUGCAUUGAUGCAUAUGGAUGUAUUGCCUGUUUGACGAAAUUCCUCAACCGGACUCUGUUUCUCACCAAUGAAUCGUACCAGCUCCAAGUUGAUUUCCCCAAGCAUGACCUCAUGGAAGCACCUCAAGCCCAGAAGAAGCUGUCGGCGAUUGGAUCGUGGGAGAACACAAAGAAGGCUUCUGUGGAAGCUCAGUUGAAAAAGAUAAGAGAUGGGAAAUGCUGCAGCUGCAUUUGGUGGAGGCUUGCCUCCUGGAAUAAGUGGUACAAAUGACGGGUGCACCAUCCAAUCUGUAGAUGGGAAAUGCCUGGGGAGAUCUUUUUUCUUCGAUGUUUUCGUUUUCUGCCCUUCUACUUUGAUUUUCCUUGAUUUCUUGUCAGAUCUAAGGUUCUUAAGUGAUAUAUGGUGUAGAUAUCUUGAAAAAUGAAUGAUAUCUUUUUAUAGAUCGCUGAUAAAAUGCUCUAUACCCUGUCCAUUGUCUUCCGACAGGGAUGCUAACACUGUUAAUGAUGUUAUGGAAUUUGUACUUCAAAACUUCCCAGAGAUGAAUAAACUUUGGGUCCGAAUGCAUCAUUAGGUUAGUUGAAAUUUUAGAGAACUAUCGCUAUUGUGUUUGGGCGCAAACAGUAAGUGCAUGCCAUAAAUGAAAAACUGGAGCAUGGGGGUUUGUGAAGGGAAGAAGCAGUGCAGGUUGAAUUUCAUGCUAUUCUACAUGUUUGAUGAAAUUCCUCAACCAGACUCUGUUUCUCACCAAUGAAUCGUACCAGCUCCAAGUUGAUUUCCCCAGGCAUUACCUCAUGGAAGCACCUCAAGUCAGUAAAAAAAAAAUUGUUUAUGAUUGGUUAUAAGUAACUUUUUUACUUACAAGUACUUAAUCAAUUCAGUUAUAUGUGGAUCCAUCAUGAUGUUUUUGUUUCAUCCAUGCUGUCCAUCCAUUUUUUCAAAUCAUUUCAGGGAAUUAGCCCAAAAAUUAGGCACAUUCAAAUAUCAAGUUGAAUGAGAAACAGUGGUGAUUGAACUCCCACCAUUAAAACCUUCAUCAGGCUAAAUGCUUUAGAUCAAGCUAAUAUUUGUGUUUUCCAUUCAUCCUAGUCUGUAUGACCUAACAACAAGUUGGAUGGCAAAUAAACAUUACAGUGGGCCUUAGAAAGUCUUUAAUGGGGAUUUUGUUCUUCUAGCGAACAUGUAUGCAAUUGCUAGCUAAUGGAACAAAGUGACAAGAGUGAGAGAGGCAAUGAGAAACAGAGGAGUUCAGAUACCAGAGCCAGGUAACAGCCUCAUCGAGCUACAUCCAACAAUUUAGCUUGAAUCAAAAUUUUCAAGGACUGUUGUGGAUGCAUUUCUUUCUUGUGUAGCAGAUUUUCUAUGUUGUUAGACUUCCCUCUUCUCUUUCUGUACUUUUCUCUCCCAACUUUUCUUUUUCUUCAUUUUCUUUCUCCACCUGAUUUGAAAAUAGAAAGGGAAUUCAUAGUUAUUACUCUCCUUCCACUGAUAGGCAAUUCACUUUCUAGGAUAAAAUGGUAAAUUCAAUAGAGCUAUUGCAUCUAUUUGUUUUUUUUUUUUUUUUUUUUGGCACCAUUUAAAAAUUGGCAGUGACUCAUCCACCUUACAUAUCAGAUUGAUUUACAGCUAUACACACCAUCCAUAUUGUGGAUCUCAUUGUUGAUGGAGCAUUUCUAAAAUCAGACAUUUCUAAAUCACACUGAUCAAGCAAUCCUAACCGUCCAAUUAAUGGAUAUCAUAUGGAUAGAUGGUUAAAAAUAAAAGUGAAUGGUCCAAAUUUGGAAGGACAAAUCUGAUGGUUAAUGUUAUCUUCUCAGUGAAGAUUUUUUAUUAUGCACUUGUGCUCCAUCCAUAGAUUUGGAUGGUCUGGAUUGCCAUACAAGCAUGCAAUGUGUAUGUCUAAAGUCUCACCACCAUUUUCUAAAUGGUGCAAAACUAACACUUGACUCCCCUUGCUCAAGACCUGACAGAUGACUCUUUUUUUUUUUUCUUUUUAAAUUUAUGGGCAGUGAAAAUUAUAAUGAUGGAGAAAUUCCAAGUAUCGCAUGGUAGCUUAUGCUGAAAUGAACAUGAGAUAGUGCCCAUAUCUGAUGAUUAGGAUUCCUCUGUUGGGACGGUUUAA